rnacentral:rRNA from 1 species
AAGCUGAUCCAUUAAUACCGCGNUGUGUGAAGAAGGCCUGAGGGUUGUAAAGCACUUUCAAUAGGAAGGAAUACCUAUCGGUUAAUACCCGGUAGACUGACAUUACCUAUACAAGAAGCACCGGCUAACUCCGUGCCAGCAGCCGCGGUAAUACGGAGGGUGCAAGCGUUAAUCGGAAUUACUGGGCGUAAAGCGUGCGUAGGCGGUUAUUUAAGUCAGAUGUGAAAGCCCUGGGCUUAACCUGGGAACUGCAUUUGAUACUGGAUGACUAGAGUUGAGUAGAGGAGAGUGGAAUUUCAGGUGUAGCGGUGAAAUGCGUAGAGAUCUGAAGGAACACCAGUGGCGAAGGCGGCUCUCUGGACUCAAACUGACGCUGAGGUACGAAAGCGUGGGUAGCAAACAGGAUUAGAUACCCUGGUAGUCCACGCCGUAAACGAUGUCAACUAACCGUUGGGUUCUUUAAGAACUUAGUGGUGGAGCUAACGUAUUAAGUUGACCGCCUGGGGAGUACGGACGCAAGGCUAAAACUCAAAUGAAUUGACGGCGGCCCGCACAAGCGGUGGAGCAUGUGGUUUAAUUCGAUGCAACGCGAAGAACCUUACCUACCCUUGACAUGUGGCGAAUCCUUAGAGAUAGAGGAGUGCCUUCGGGACGUA